rnacentral:rRNA from 1 species
AGUGAACGCUGGCGGUAGGCUUAACACAUGCAAGUCGAACGGCAGCACAGUACGAGCUUGCUCUUACGGGGGGCGAGUCGCGGACGGGUGAGGAAUAUAUCGUAAUCUACUCUUUCGUGUGGGAUCACGUAGGGAAACUUACGCUAAUACCGCAUACGACCUUCGGGUGAAAGCAGUGGAUCUUCGGACCUGGCGCGGUUGGAUGCGCCGAUGACGGAUUAGCUAGUUGGCGGGGUAAAGGCCCACCAAGGCGACGAUCCGUAGCUGGUCGGGGAGGAGGGUCAGCCGCCCUAGAACUGGGACGGCGUCCAGACUACUAAGAGAGGGCGCAGUGGGGAACAUUAGACAACGGGCGCAAGCAUGAUACAGCCAUCCCGCGUGGGUGAAGAAGGCGCUCGGUGUGUAAAGCCCUUUUGUGGGGAAAGAAAAGCAGCAGGUUAAUACCACGCUGUUCUGACGGUACCCAAAGAAGAAGCACCGGCUAACUUCGUG